UACAGAGGGUGCGAACGUUAUCCGGAGUUACUGGGCGUAAAGGGCGUGUAGGCGGUUUGUUAAGUCUGGCGUGAAAGCUCUCGGCUAAACCGGGAGAGGUCGUUGGAUACUGGCGAACUAGAGGAUGGUAGAGGCGUGUGGAAUUCCGGGUGUAGUGGUGAAAUGCGUAGAGAUCCGGAGGAACACCAGUGGCGAAGGCGGCCCACUGGAUCGGUACUGACGCUGAGGUGCGAAAGCGUGGGGAGCAAACCGGG
rnacentral:rRNA from 1 species